UCUGGCGGCAGUAGCGCGGUGGUCCCACCUGACCCCAUGCCGAACUCAGAAGUGAAACGCCGUAGCGCCGAUGGUAGUGUGGGGUCUCCCCAUGCGAGAGUAGGGAUCUGCCAGAC
rnacentral:rRNA from 1 species